rnacentral:rRNA from 1 species
UGGGGAAUAUUGCACAAUGGGCGCAAGCCUGAUGCAGCCAUGCCGCGUGUGUGAAGAAGGCCUUCGGGUUGUAAAGCACUUUCAGCGAGGAGGAAGGUGGUGAGCUUAAUACGCUCAUCAAUUGACGUUACUCGCAGAAGAAGCACCGGCUAACUCCGUGCCAGCAGCCGCGGUAAUACGGAGGGUGCAAGCGUUAAUCGGAAUUACUGGGCGUAAAGCGCACGCAGGCGGUUUGUUAAGUCAGAUGUGAAAUCCCCGGGCUCAACCUGGGAACUGCAUUUGAAACUGGCAAGCUAGAGUCUCGUAGAGGGGGGUAGAAUUCCAGGUGUAGCGGUGAAAUGCGUAGAGAUCUGGAGGAAUACCGGUGGCGAAGGCGGCCCCCUGGACGAAGACUGACGCUCAGGUGCGAAAGCGUGGGGAGCAAAACAGGAUUAGAUACCCUGGUAGUCCACGCUGUAAAACGAUGUCGAUUUUGGAGGUUGUGCCCUUGAGGCGUGGNUUCCGGAGCUAACGCGUUAAAUCGACCGCCUGGGGAGUACGGCCGCAAGGUUAAAACUC